rnacentral:sRNA from 1 species
ACUACAGCAAAAUCUGUAGUCGGGUGUGACAACUCGAUACUCUAAGUGGCGUACAUAGCACGCGACAGCGUGUUUUUU